rnacentral:tRNA from 1 species
GCCGAGAUGGCCCAGCCCGGUAAGGCGCGAGCCUGGAAAGUUCGUGGUGAUUCACCUCGGGAGUUCAAAUCUCCCUCUCGGCGCCA